CAGCGGCUCCUAGGAAAGUCGGCAGCGUGCCGCUUCGGGUGAUUCCGGAGCCGCUCCCUGCCGGUCCAGGGACGCUCCGCAGCAGCGGCUGCUCAACGCCAGCACCGCGCGCCACCAACCGCCGAGCUCGCGGCUUCCACUGCGGCCGAGAGCGCUUUACAAUGGCUGGGGGACGGGGCAGGGCUGGGAGCGGACGGCGACGCCUGUCAGUCCACGGCGGCAAUGAGCCGAUCGGAUGCCGCGAGGCGCUCGGGGGCAGCUGCGAGCCAAUCGGGUGCCGCGACGCGCGCAGCGGCGGCUGGCAGCAAAAGCGGUCCGUGGUCCCGGGACGGGCUCGGGCGUAAAACCGACCGAGGAAAUAGGCGAGGGGCAGCCUGGAUUGGAAGCGGGGGGAGAACAUCGCUGAGCCGGCGGUCCAAGCGCCGACUGCAAGCCCGCACCUCAGCGCCUCGGAGAAACGGGUGCC
rnacentral:lncRNA from 1 species